CUUGUAUUUUACUUCUUCUGUGAGAGAACAGGAGGAAGAAGGAGGAGGAGGUCACGCAGGCUGAAGAGAAGCAGCUCACGUAGCUCCGGGUUGCGAUUUGGAACUGCGGGGAGCAGAAUGAAAGCAGGAUUCCCUCAUGUUAUUACGAAGAGAAUCAAGCGACCUGCUGGUGCUUCGGUUCGAUUGAUGGCACUCUGAUCAUGUUCAUGAGGUUAAGACUGGAAGAAACUUUGGCUUCCAAUCCUGUUAAUAUCAAGUUUAAAAACCAGAAAAGUGAAAAGUGGACACCUCCUUGUCCCAAGUAUGAACGCGAAUGGUGCGAGCCCUUCCUUUCCCCCUAAACAUCAAAGGUUUGUUCUCGUCAAGAUCCUUGAAGAAACAAAGAGUUCACUUUCCUUUAUUACCUGCACCCUCCAGGAACUCAACAUAUGUCAAGGAAAUGAGAGUGGUAUAUGAUCUGUUGAAGCAUAACUGAUAUCUUUCCUUGCAAAUGGAUCUAAUUUAUCUUAUGAUGUAACCUAGAAUGAAGCUAUACUAAAAUAAGUA